AAGUCGUAACAAGGUUUCCGUAGGUGAACCUGCGGAAGGAUCAUUAAAAAAUGAGACCUCGAUUUUGAAGGUCUAUUAAUAAUCCUACCCUUUGUGAAUUUGUUUGUUUAAUUAUGUGUCUUUCCCUGGUCUGAUGGAGCUUGUUUAAAGCAAAAUCAAUCCAGGGGAAUGGCAAAACUUUUUUCUAAAUUAAACUUUUUGUAUUCAUUUGUCUAAAAUUAUUUUAUAAUAUAAAAACAACUUUUGACAAUGGAUCUCUUGGUUCUCGCAACGAUGAAGAACGCAGCAAAAUGCGAUAAGUAGCGUGAAUUGCAGAAUACGUGAAUCAUCGAAUCUUCGAACGCAUAUUGCACUUUUUUAGUUUACCAAAAAGUAUGUCUGUUUGAGUAUCAGUAAAAUUUCUCAUAAAAACUAUUUAUUUUUAUGGUUAUGAGUGUUUUACAACGAUAAACAAGUUGUUUCACUUUAAAUUCUUUGUACAUCAAAAAAAAAUUCAUUCUUUAAAAACUAAUUUAUUAAAAUGAUUUUUUUAAAAUUGGAUAAAAUUUUCCCUGUAAAAAGGAAUAACCUUAACAAUUUUAAAUAAUUAAAUUAGCGAUUUCUUUUGAAUAAUAAAGGAAAAGUAAAAUUAACUUGAUCUCAAAUCAGAUAAGAGUACCCGCUGAACUUAAGCAUAUCAAUAAGCGGAGGAAAAGAAACUAACUAGGAUUCCCUCAGUAACGGCGAGUGAAGCGGGAAGAGCUCAAAUUUGAAAUCUUAAAGGUUCUACCUUUACGAAUUGUAGUUUAAAGAAGUGUUUUCUGUUGAGUUUUGGUAAAAGUUCUUUGGAAUAGGACAUCAUAGAGGUGAGAAUCCCGUAUUUGACCAUUAUUUCCAACUUUGUGAUACACUUUCAAAGAGUCGGAUUGUUUGGGAAUGCAGUCCAAAUGGGUGGUAAAUUUCAUCUAAAGCUAAAUACUGGCGAGAGACCGAUAGCGAACAAGUACCGUGAGGGAAGAUGAAAAGAACUUUGAAAGAGAGUUAAACAGUACGUGAAAUUGUCAAAGGGAAGCGUUUGACACCAGUGUUGUUUUCUCGAAAGUCAAUUAAAAAUGUUGGAUUUUGUGUUGUAUUGACCUUUAAAAGCUUUCUUCACUUUUUCCUGUCUAUUUUUAAUGCACUUUUCGUUUAACAAGUCAACAUCAGUUUCUUUGUUGUAAAAAGGUCAUUGGAAGGUGGCUUUCUUUUCGGAGAAAGUGUUUAUAGCCUUUGACUCUGCAAUCGGAGAGACUGAGUCUGCAGCGUAGAUCCUUUUGGAUUAGAUUCAUUUGUGCUAAGUUAUAGCUUUUUAUAGACAACAUGUUGACUAUAUUUAGUCUUGUAACUUACUCGCUUAUGUAAUUUUACCUACGCUUAGGAUGUGAG
rnacentral:misc_RNA from 1 species